GAACGCUGGCGGCAUGCUUAACACAUGCAAGUCGAACGAGAAAGCUUCUUCGGAAGUGAUUAAAGUGGCGCACGGGUGAGUAACGCGUAGACAAUCUGCCCUUCAGUCCGGGACAACUUUCCGAAAGGGGAGCUAAUACCGGAUCACUAUGUUUGACAUAAGUUGAAUAUUUGAAAGCUCCGGCGCUGAUGGAUGAGUCUGCGUCCCAUUAGCUUGUUGGUGCGGUAGAGGCGCACCAAGGCUACGAUGGGUAGCGGGUUUGAGAGGACGAUCCGCCACACUGGAACUGAGACACGGUCCAGACUCCUACGGGAGGCAGCAG
rnacentral:rRNA from 1 species